rnacentral:rRNA from 1 species
CCUACGGGGGGCUGCAGUAAGGAAUAUUGGUCAAUGGACGAAAGUCUGAACCAGCCAUGCCGCGUGGAGGAUGAAGGUCCUCUGGAUUGUAAACUUCUUUUAUAUGGGACGAAAACAGGCCUUUCUAGGCCGUCUGACGGUACCAUAUGAAUAAGCACCGGCUACCUCCGUGCCAGCAGCCGCGGUAAUCCGGAGGGUGCAAGCGUUAUCCGGUUUCACUGGGUUUAAAGGGGGUUGAUAAGGCAGGGGUGAAAUCUCCGAGCUUAGCUUGGAAACUGCCAUUGAUACUAUUAAUCUUGAAUAUUGUGGAGGUUAGCGGAAUAUGUCAUGUAGCGGUGAAAUGCUUAGAUAUGACAUAGAACACCAAUUGCGAAGGCAGCUGGCUACACAUAUAUUGACACUGAGGCACGAAAGCGUGGGGAUCAAACAGGAUUAGAUACCCGAGUAGUC